rnacentral:rRNA from 1 species
GAUGAACGCUGGCGGCGUGCCUAAUACAUGCAAGUCGAGCGAACGGACGAGAAGCUUGCUUCUCUGAUGUUAGCGGCGGACGGGUGAGUAACACGUGGAUAACCUACCUAUAAGACUGGGAUAACUUCGGGAAACCGGAGCUAAUACCGGAUAAUAUUUUGAACCGCAUGGUUCAAAAGUGAAAGACGCUCUUGCUGUCACUUAUAGAUGGAUCCGCGCUGCAUUAGCUAGUUGGUAAGGUAACGGCUUACCAAGGCAACGAUGCAUAGCCGACCUGAGAGGGUGAUCGGCCACACUGGAACUGAGACACGGUCCAGACACCUACGGGAGGCAGCAGUAGGGAAUCUUCCGCGAUGGACGAAAGCCUGACGGAGCAACGCCGCGUGAGUGAUGAAGGUCUUCGGAUCGUAAAACUCUGUUAUUAGGGGAGAACAUAUGUGUAAGUAACUGUGCACAUCUUGACGGUACCUAAUCAGAAAGCCACGGCUAACUACGUG